rnacentral:sRNA from 1 species
GUAAUAGCAAACUAGGGUUCCGGCUUCUUGCUUUAGAAGUGUCUGGUCCGAGAGUUUCUGGCUUCAGUAAUAACGAAGCUCCACGGAGGGAUAAAAGCCCGGGAGAA